rnacentral:rRNA from 1 species
UACGAAGGGGGCGAGCGUUGUUCGGAAUUACUGGGCGUAAAGGGCGCGUAGGCGGCCGAUCAAGUCAGAUGUGAAAGUCCUGGGCUUAACCUGGGGACUGCAUUUGAUACUGAUUGGCUUGAAUGCAGGAGAGGAUAGCGGAAUUCCCAGUGUAGAGGUGAAAUUCGUAGAUAUUGGGAAGAACACCAGUGGCGAAGGCGACUACCUGGCCUGUUCUUGACGCUGAGGCGCGAAAGCUAGGGGAGCAAACGGG